rnacentral:rRNA from 1 species
GAUGAACGCUAGCUACAGGCUUAACACAUGCAAGUCGAGGGGAAACGAUAGAGAAAGCUUGCUUCCGAUAGGCGUCGACCGGCGCACGGGUGAGUAACGCGUAUCCAACCUGCCCAUCACUUGGGGAUAACCUUGCGAAAGUAAGACUAAUACCCAAUGACGUCUCUAGAAGACAUCUGAAGGAGAUUAAAGAUUUAUCGGUGAUGGAUGGGGAUGCGUCUGAUUAGCUUGUUGGCGGGGUAACGGCCCACCAAGGCGACGAUCAGUAGGGGUUCUGAGAGGAAGGUCCCCCACAUUGGAACUGAGACACGGUCCAAACUCCUACGGGAGGCAGCAGUGAGGAAUAUUGGUCAAUGGGCGAGAGCCUGAACCAGCCAAGUAGCGUGCAGGAUGACGGCCCUAUGGGUUGUAAACUGCUUUUAUAAGGGAAUAAAGUGGGAGUCGUGACUCUUUUUGCAUGUACCUUAUGAAUAAGGACCGGCUAAUUCCGUG